AUAAUAUGGAAAUAAUAAUACCUUUUCAGAUGACUAUGAAGUAAUUCAAAUUAAUGGGAAGAAGGUUUUACUAUAUCAAAACUACACGUUUUCCAAACAAGGAUUUUCAUGGCAGAAUCAGUAUUGUUCACAAAAGAAUCGAAAGAAUUGCAAAGCCAAGCUAAGGUUAAGCGAAAAUGGAAUACUGAUAUACGCCAACGUGGAUCAUAACCAUCCGCCCCCUCGUUUGUUCGAGAUUUCUCAAGGAAUUUACUGCAAAACAUAAGUAUAAAAGGAAAACCACUGAUCCUUUACCAAAGGCAUACAUUUUCGAAGCAAAACUCGUCAGCUCGCAGGAGGUACUGUUCUAAGAGAAUAAGUCGAGGAUGUGGAGCGAAGCUUAUUCUGAUGGAUGAUGGUCCAGUUCUCACAUGCCCUCACAACCAUCCGCCCCCGAAUAUUGUGCAAUCAUCUGAUGGCUUCUACCAUAAAUUAUAGAGAUUUUAUUUACGUAUCAAGGA